rnacentral:rRNA from 1 species
UACGGAGGGGGCUAGCGUUGUUCGGAAUUACUGGGCGUAAAGGGCUCGUAGGCGGCCAACUAAGUCAGACGUGAAAUCCCUCGGCUUAACCGGGGAACUGCGUCUGAUACUGGAUGGCUCGAGUUUGGGAGAGGGAUGCGGAAUUCCAGGUGUAGCGGUGAAAUGCGUAGAUAUCUGGAGGAACACCGGUGGCGAAGGCGGCAUCCUGGACCAACACUGACGCUGAUGAGCGAAAGCCAGGGGAGCAAACGGG